rnacentral:tRNA from 1 species
GGAGGGGUGUCCGAGUGGUUUAAGGAGGCGGUCUUGAAAACCGUUGACUCUUCGCAGGGUCCGUGGGUUCGAAUCCCACCUCCUCCGCCA